rnacentral:tRNA from 1 species
GACUGGAUGGUGCAGUAAUUAGCACCUCUGACUGUUGCGCCGAGGGUCGUGGGUUCGAUUCCCACAUCGGACA